UGAGCGUUUGUUUACCGCCCGCAGCUGUUGGCCCGAAUUCCUGAAAGCCAUCGCUGCACUGCGAGAGGACUUGAAGGGGUGGAAUUUUGAAGCGGGAGUCAACCGCAUUCCGGUUAGUCUUCCACCGAAAUUGAUCGACGAAUGCCGCCCCCAUAAAUAUGAGCCAGAGCUCCGGUUGCAUUAUUUAUGGAAGCCUUGACUCUCCAAAAAAAGAGUUCGAUUAGAUUACAAAGCAGCGGACAAGGAAACUGCAAAGCAUUCGAUCAUCUGGCAUCGAGCCAAUUCCGUGUCCAGAGAGACACGCCACUCAUGAGUAAUUGGUUAAAGAUGGCCCACCAGUGGAUGCCAUCCACUUGAUAUUCAAUCGAAUGUGACAGUGACUCUGUGGGCCUUAAAUAGGGUUUGGAGGUGGUAUCACAUGGGGGAAACGUUUUGAAGCAAUUACUGCCAGUUGCCUGCGACUUUGCUUGUUUUUUUUUGGCAGGCAUUGAAGUAACAAGACCACUACAGUGAUUCCCUCUACAGAUCUUAGCAAGGUUCAUAUUGGUAAUAUAUUUUAAAUAAAAAUUCCAACAUAAGAAAUGAAUUUUAUCAUAAAA